rnacentral:rRNA from 1 species
AGAGUUUGAUCCUGGCUCAGGAUGAACGCUAGCGGCAGGCCUAAUACAUGCAAGUCGAACGGUGAUAUUUAUAUCAUAGUGGCGCACGGGUGCGUAACACGUAUGCAACCUACCUAUUAUUGGGGGAUAGCCUUUGGAAACGGAGAUUAAUACCGCAUAAUACGAUUAACUGGCAUCGGUUGAUUGUUAAAGCAUUUGCGAUAAUAGAUGGGCAUGCGUCCAAUUAGCUAGUUGGUGUGGUAAUGGCUCACCAAGACGAUGAUUGGUAGGGGAUCUGGGAGGAUAAUCCCCCACACUGGCACUGAGAUACGGGCCAGACUCCCACGGGAGGCAGCAGUAGGGAAUAUUGGGCAGUGGGCGAAAGCCUGACCCAGCCAUGCCGCGUGCAGGAAGACGGCGUUAUGCGUUGUAAACUGCUUUUUUAUAGGAAGAAGGAUCCCUUGCGAGGGAAGGUGACGGUACUAUAAGAAUAAGCACCGGCUAACUCCGUGCCAGCAGCCGCGGUAAUACGGAGGGUGCAAGCGUUGUCCGGAUUUAUUGGGUUUAAAGGGUGCGUAGGCGGUUUAUUAAGUCAGUGGUGAAAGACGGUCGCUCAACGAUUGCAGUGCCAUUGAUACUGGUAGACUUGAGUGAG